ACAACUUGUUUUCUCUGCUUGAAUCUUGUCAUCUGUAGCUGUCAUAAUAUGCAGGUCAUUUUUGUACCCUCAGAAGACUGGGAAAACACAGCCUAAGAACAGCCCUUGAUUCCUCUCCUAAUUGCUUCCUAGGCCCCCUCAAAGUGCACCAUUAGCCCUGAAUGAUGUGACCAUAUACCUGAGCAUGUUUCAUCAGAAGCCCUUGAUCCUUGGGCCUCUUCAGAGGGCUUAACUGGGAUGAAAAAUUAAACAAAUAUUGGAAAGUGAUAGAAAAAAAAUGGCUGUGUCUUCUAAAGCUUAUUGAUUUUUAGGAUCUUCUCAGGUGUGAAAACAAGAUUCACUGCUGGUGUCUUGACUUUGGAUUCCUGUUACCUGGAAGAGUGGUUUACUGACUAAAUAAGGUGCACAGAGUGCAGGAGUGGGCCGGUGUGCCCCUCGAGGUAAUCAACCCCAGAGAUGGAGAUCAGCUGCGAGGGAGUGGUACCCACUUGAAAGGGCAGAUUUCUGGAAGGAAGAUGACAUCAAAGACAAGAACAGUCUGAUGGACAUUACGAGGCAUUAAAAUAGACCACAGUGUAUUCUGCCCUUGUAAAUAAUGGAAAUGAGCAUUACUUUCCAAAACUGAGAUUAAAAGUCAACAUGAAUUUAAACCUUGA
rnacentral:lncRNA from 1 species